UUGAAGCACUGGUUCUUGUAAUAUCAUCGAAGUUAAGCAACGUCGGGCCUGGUUAGUACUUAGAGGGAUGACAGCUUGGGAAUACCAGGUACCGUAAU